GGGUCAGUAGGUUGGUCGUGCCACCGGUACGUACUGGUCUCACUGAUUCCUCCUUCCUGAAGAACCGUAAUGCCAUUAAUUUGGUGUUGCGGGGAAACAGGACUGUUACUCUGAAAAAGUUAGAGUGUUUAAAGCAAGCUAACGCUUGAAUACAUUAGCAUGGAAUAAUGAAAUAGGACGAUCGAUCCUAUUUUGUUGGUUUCUAGGAUUGACGUA
rnacentral:rRNA from 1 species